AACUUGGUGAAUCAGUAUGACAGUCAUAAAGGUUAGGCAUUGCCAUUUCCCCCCACCCCUGAGUUGUAGGUUUUCUUACUCUUUUAUGCCUAUCAAAUCUAGUGAGCAUGUUAAAAAUGAACCACAAUCCACAUAAAUGCAACCUAAAUUAGCUACAGAAUAGUUAAACUGAAGUUUUUUGGUUGGUAUGUUACACUUUGCAGGCAUCUNCUUUGCAGGCAUCUAAUUAAAUUUUUAUUUUAUUUUAUUUUAUUUUAUUUUAUUUUAUUUUAUUUUUGUCUUUUUAGGGCUGCACCUGCGGCAUAUGGAAGUUCCCAAGCUAGGGGUCCAAUUGGAGCUGCAGCUGCUGCAAGGCCUACACCACAGCCACAGCAACACCAGAUCCAAGCCGCAUCUGCGACCUACUCCAUAGCUACCUACAACGCUGGAUCCUUAACCCACUGAGCGAAGCCAGGGAUUGAACCCGCAACCUCAGGGUUCCUAGUUGGAUUCAUUAACCACUGAGCCAUGACGGGAACUCCCCAACAGAGUAUUUUAACAGGCAACAAAACUAGCCAGGAGCUACCUUGAGCGGAACACGAGUAGUAAGUCUCAGAGGUCCUAGGCACUGUCUGUGUUAUACUUUGGUAUUGCCUGUCUAGCCCUGGCGUUGUUACGCACUAUCUUUCAGGAGAAAAUUUUUAAGAUGACCCAACUCUUAUUAUUUUAUAAAUUGUAACUUCCCUGCCUUAUGAAGCAUAGGUCUUGUACAUCAAAUUGGCUAGUAUAUCUGAGGUGUACAGUUGGCUCUGGUCUAUCGCUUAUCCAUUUGUGAUUCAGAACACAUACUUGGCUAAAUCCAAGCCUUAACUUCUCUAUUCACUUGCUUAAAAAUGCCAGGGCAAUUGACGUAUAGAGUGACAAGUUCUCUAAGCCUGCAUUCAGAACCAUCAAAAAAUUGUACAAAGAAUAGAAGUUCGCAUUGUCGUUCAACAGGUUAAGGACCCAGCAUAGUCUCUGUGAGGAUGCAGGUUCGAUCCCUGGCCUCACUCAGUGGGUUAAGGAUCUAGCAUUGCUGCAAGCUGUGGCAUAGGUGGCAGGUGUGGCUCAGAUCCUGCAUGGCUGCAGCUGUGGCGUAGGCCAGCAGCUGCAGCUCCAAUUCAUCCUCUGGCCUGGAAACUUUCAUAGGCUUCAGGAGUAGCCAUAAAAAGAAAAGGAAAAAAAAAAAUUCAUGAUGAUUUUAGAAACUCUCGUCACAACAUAUAAAGCCAAUAUGUAUAAAUCAAUGAAGAGAGAGAGAAGAAUGAAAGAAAAGGAGGAAGGAAGGGAAGAGAGAGAGUAAAGGAAGGAGGAAGGAGGGAGGGAGAGAAGGAAGGAAGGAGGAAAGGAAGGACACAAAGAAAAGAAAGAAAUGGGAUAUGUUCACCCAGUUGAGAUCUUCUGAGAUGUGUCAUUUACUCCUGGGAAGGGAUUAUCACUUGAAAAGUCGGGAAAAAGAGGAAACACAUUUUGUAAAUAGAUUCUCACCUUGUGGUUUCCUCCCACACGGAUACUAGAGUUAAUCGUACAUGUCUAAGGAGUUCUAGGCACCUUAGUUUCUGAAAUAUCUGGUCAGUUCUCUGACAGGGAUUUCUCACUGAUGAAGCUUAAUGACACCACCAAGCCUCGCCAAGCUAGGAUCUAAGUUCCAGGAAAGCAGGAACCAUUUCUCUCUGGUUUGGUACUGCAUCUUCAGGAUCUUGUCAAAGAUAGGCUUGCAUAUAAGUAUUUAUCCAACGAAUGAACUCCAGUAGCUUUUGCAAAUUUAUGCUACUACCACGUGGCAACAAAGAAUAUUGAGUGUAUGCCUCCUAGAAAAAUCUGAAAAUAAACAUUACCAUGAGAGACA
ensembl:lncRNA